rnacentral:rRNA from 1 species
GUAGUCUCGCACAGAUGCAUAUCAAUAAGCGGAGGAAAAGAAACUAACAAGGAUUCCCCUAGUAACGGCGAGUGAAGCGGGAAGAGCUCAAAUUUGAAAUCUUAAAGGGUUUCCCUUUACGAAUUGUAGUUUAAAGAAGUGUUUUCUGUUGAGGUUUUGGUAAAAGUCCUUUGGAAUAGGACAUCAUAGAGGGUGAGAAUCCCGUAUUUGACCUUUACUUUCAACUUUGUGAUACACUUUCAAAGAGUCGGAUUGUUUGGGAAUGCAGUCCAAAAUGGGUGGUAAAUUUCAUCUAAAGCUAAAUAUUGGCGAGAGACCGAUAGCGAACAAGUACCGUGAGGGAAAGAUGAAAAGAACUUUGAAAAGAGAGUUAAACAGUACGUGAAAUUGUCAAAAGGGAAGCGUUUGACACCAGUGUUGUUUUUCUGAAAAUCAAUUAAAGAACUGUUUAUGCUAAGUUGUUUAGACUUUAUCAGCUAACUGUUUAGUUUUGAGCUUUUCUUUAAUGCACUUUUCAGUUAACAAGUCAACAUCAAUUUCUUUUGCUGUAAAAAAGCUUGAGGAAGGUGGCUUGAGAUUCGUCUUAAGUGUUUAUAGCCUCUUGCCUAUGCAGUCGGAGAGAUUGAGGUCUGCAGCGUAGAUCCUUCGGGGCUAAAUGCAUUUGUGCUAAGUUAUAGCAUUUUAUAGACAACUUGUUGACUAUGAUUUGUCUUGUAGCUUACUCGCUUAUGUUAUUUUACCUACGCUUAGGAUGUUGAACUCUAUCACACACAG